rnacentral:rRNA from 1 species
AAUAGAUACCCAGGUAGUCCACGCCGUAAACGAUGAGUGCUAAGUGUUAGAGGGUUUCCGCCCUUUAGUGCUGCAGCUAACGCAUUAAGCACUCCGCCUGGGGAGUACGGUCGCAAGACUGAAACUCAAAGGAAUUGACGGGGGCCCGCACAAGCGGUGGAGCAUGUGGUUUAAUUCGAAGCAACGCGAAGAACCUUACCAGGUCUUGACAUCCUCUGACAACUCUAGAGAUAGAGCGUUCCCCUUCGGGGGACAGAGUGACAGGUGGUGCAUGGUUGUCGUCAGCUCGUGUCGUGAGAUGUUGGGUUAAGUCCCGCAACGAGCGCAACCCUUGAUCUUAGUUGCCAGCAUUAAGUUGGGCACUCUAAGGUGACUGCCGGUGACAAACCGGAGGAAGGUGGGGAUGACGUCAAAUCAUCAUGCCCCUUAUGACCUGGGCUACACACGUGCUACAAUGGAUGGUACAAGGGCGUGCAAGACCGCGAGGUCAAGCCAACUACCACUAAACCAACUUCUCAGUUACGGUACGUGU